rnacentral:hammerhead_ribozyme from 1 species
AUCUAGUUCAGGAGUCCCAAACAGGACGAAAUGCUCAUCCUGGAU